CUAGAGUCAGUCCAUUUCCUGUUGCCUUUUGGUCAAGAUGUAGCCAAAACCAUGUCUGCUUGCAUAUCACCCUUCUCCCCACCAUGAAGAAAAUGAACUGAACCUCUGAAACUGUCACUGUCCAUCAUUUUGAUGAAGCCAAGGAAGCUGGAACUUCAAAGAGCUAGUCACAGAACAUCCACAAGUUCUGGUUGGUGUCCGAGAAGUUCAAGGCCAAGACAACAGCAGAUUUGCUCUUGUUUUAUAGGCACUCACAGCCAGGAGCUGGAACUGCACGAAGCUCUGUAUGGAACAGAGGACACCUUGAUGUUUUCCUGCAUGGAUGUUAGGCAUCAUGUGCAUGCCUGGUACCUACAGAUGCCAGAAGACGGUGUCAGCUCCUCUGGAACUGGAGUUACAGAUGGUUGUGAUCUGUCAUGCCAGUGCUGGGAAUUGAUCCCAGGUGCUUUAGGAGGAGCAGCCAGUGCUCUAACCACUGGACAAUAUCUCCAGCCCACAAUCCAGAAGGUUCGUCACAGCUGCAAGACAGAUCCUGACAAUAUUGUGACCCUCCUGGAGGAAGGAAAGCCGGUUCUGUCUUGACAUCUUCUGCUGUCCUUGGAACUUUGAAGCUUGUUCUGGGCCCCUGAACACUGCUGGGGAGAGACAGCAGCACUGAAGAUGUAUAUAUGUGCCUCCUCCCAAUCAUUUGGAUCAUGGCUCUCAAUGACGAUCGAUCGACCAUCAAGAUGAGGAAGUAAACACGCUGUAAGAAAAUGAGUGUCUCUCUGUGGUUGUGAUACAUGUUCCGUCGGCUAAGACCAGCCUCAGCCUCUAACUCAGAGAUUCUGUCUUUGGCCAGAGGCCAUGGCCAUCAAUACUGCCUCUGGGCGCAUCUGUCCCCCAUCAGCCACUUACUGACUAAGGCCAGGGACAAAUGGCAAAUCUGAGGUCCGCUUGGGGCAGAGAGCUCUGCAUCAUGAUUACUGAGCUGUAGGACGUCUCUCCCUGACACUGACAUAUCACAGUGCUACUUGCAUUAACCCAGCCACCUGCCCGUAAGAGCCAAAUGACUAGCUGCCCUCCAUAGAGGUCACGUGCCACCAAGAUGCAUCGCACAUUUCACCCUUAGGUGCCUGCACACUGGGAGUUGAAAAUUUGUGUCCACUAAGUGACCACCUAGCUGAGAAAGCCACUCACCCUUCACAGCUGCUUUGUCCAAGGCACACAAAGAGGAGGAGCUUCAAGCCCUGGCCACAUCCUGCUCUAGCCAUGGUGUCCCUGCUCACACAAG
rnacentral:lncRNA from 1 species